rnacentral:rRNA from 1 species
UACGGGGGGGGCAAGCGUUGUUCGGAAUUACUGGGCGUAAAGGGCUCGUAGGCGGCCUACUAAGUCAGACGUGAAAUCCCUCAGCUUAACUGGGGAACUGCGUCUGAUACUGGAUGGCUUGAGUUUGGGAGAGGGAUGCGGAAUUCCAGGUGUAGCGGUGAAAUGCGUAGAUAUCUGGAGGAACACCGGUGGCGAAGGCGGCAUCCUGGACCAACACUGACACUGAUGAGCGAAAGCCAGGGGAGCAAACGGG